UUUCCCAUUUCUUUAAGAAAGUAAGAUCCCUGAGAGAUGAUCAGGUAGAUAGGUCAGGAGUGGAAGUACAGUGAUGUAUGGAGCGGACUGAUACUAAUCGAUCGAGGACUUAACCAA
rnacentral:rRNA from 2 species